AACGAACGCUGGCGGCGCGCCUAAUACAUGCAAGUCGAACGAGAAGCUGUAGCAAUACAGUUGUACAGUGGCGAACGGGUGAGGAAUACAUGGGUGACCUACCCUCGAGUGGGGAAUAACCAGCCGAAAGGUUGGCUAAUACCGCGUACGCUUCCCAGUCUACGGGUUGGGAAGGAAAGCGAUGCCGUGGGUAUCGCGCUCAAGGUUGGGCUCAUGUCCUAUCAGCUUGNGGUGAGGUAACGGCUCACCAAGGCUUCGACGGGUAGCUGGUCUGAGAGGACGAUCAGCCACACUGGCACUGCGACACGGGCCAGACUCCUACGGGAGGCAGCAGUAAGGAUAUUGCGCAAUGGGCGAAAGCCUGACGCAGCGACGCCGCGUGGGGGA
rnacentral:rRNA from 1 species